UACGUAGGUGACAAGCGUUGUCCGGAUUUACUGGGCGUAAAGAGCGCGCAGGCGGUCGAUCAAGUCGAGUGUGAAAGCCCCCGGCUCAACUGGGGAGGGUCAUUCGAUACUGAUCGACUCGAAGGCAGGAGAGGGUAGUGGAAUUCCCGGUGUAGUGGUGAAAUGCGUAGAUAUCGGGAGGAACACCAAUGGCGAAGGCAGCACUCUGGGACGUGACUGACGCUGAGACGCGAAAGCGUGGGGAGCAAACAGG
rnacentral:rRNA from 1 species